rnacentral:lncRNA from 1 species
GGCCUCUGCAGAAUGAAGAUGCGCUGAGAUGUGCGCGUGAUCGAUCAACCUGCGCUGGAAAGAUGGGCUCAUUUCUUGGCUCAGACUGGCGGAGUGGGGCAGAGAGCAGGAUUUUGGUAUUAUCGCAGUGCAAGUGGAGAGCAGAAUGAGAGAGGGGUGUGUUGCGUCUGGCAGUGCGGGGGAGCAGACUGUAAGAUGAGCGCAGAGGUUAAUCGAUACACCUGGAUCGGCCUCCGGGGGACUGUCGCGCGCUACUCCUGCUCUCAGAGAUUAAACCUGCUCACAACUGUCCAUUAACAGUUUAUCAGGCCAGCAAGCUACACACAUGAGCAACUCAACCAAUGAGCUGCUUCUUUGACAGGCCGCGGUCGAAUAUUAUUUGCUCGUGCUUUGGUUACUUUGAAUUCGGAAUGAAUCAGUGUUGUUGAACAAAUCAUUUAAGUGAAAGAAUCGUUCGUUUACUUCAAUUUAGCAUAAUAUACUAGCAUAGUUGGUACUCAUGUCUGGCAGAAAUAGUAUUAGGCUAUAUAAGCUAUUCCAAAUUUAAGAGUAUGGAAGCGAACGAAUGAUUCUUCUACUUAAAAGAUUUGUUCAAACACACGCAUUCGUUCUCGCGGUUUUGCAUCCGGGACUUUUCGAGGUUUGCACCUGCUUUGAGGUGAGUUGUUAGCAAAGUGGUAUAAGUUUUUGGAUUAUAUAUCACAACAUUUAAACACAAGUUUACUGAAUUCAGAAUGGUCCGUUAUAUCUAAUUUAAGGAUAUUCAUCACCUACCUUUAAACAAAUCGUUUCGCUGCGUGUCUUUUUGUAAACAUGUACAUUGUUUACUUGGCUGUCUCACGAGUCACGAAGUUAGCCAAAUCUGGAAAAAAAUCACUUCGAGGCUACAGCGAAAAUAUUGACGUGGGUGCACAGAGCCAAGACAGCACAUGCCUGAAAACAUCACCAGGUUGUUCAGCAUGGAUCAAAACGCCUGUGGACUUUAGCGACUCUGGACACAUUGGGGAAAAAAAGUAUGAUGUGAAACCCUCUCCUCCACAUAUCCUUUUGUAAUUUAUCAUUGGAUUUAGAGCUGUGCUAAGUUUAAUUGCAUCCCUAUUAAUCAGACAGACGGUGUGAAAUUGAUCUAAAUAAAGCUAAUGAUGUCAUCCUUUCACCAUAAACAAGGGCAGGCGGGCUCACACGUAAAGCUGUCUUAUCUUUAUGCAAUUACUCACAUGCAACCAUGGAGGAAAAAUGCCUCCAAAUAUUUUGGGGGGCAGAAAUUAAACACUAAUAAAAUAAUAAUUAACCAACACUGAUAUGUUUGAUGAAGGCCUAUUUUUUUUAUUAUUAUUAUUAUUUUUUUAUGUUUCCUCCUUUUGACAGCGUUUCUGCUACAUGGUUUCUGUAAAAUCAGACAGCAGUCUGAAGAUGUCCUCCUUUGCACUUGCGGGACUCAGAUUAUAAAUUUUCCUAUUAUAUCUUUUGUUAUACUGUUUGCAAUAAUGAAUGAAUGGACAUUUGCCAGCUCGGUGCUAAUGAUCUCCAAGCUACAAUUGCUCUAAUUGCUUUACUCAUAAAUAGAGUCCCCUGUCACUGGAAACUAUCAUUCAAAUGUACGGUUUUAUGAUUGAAUCUUGUCAAGAGGCAGUGUUAACUAGAGGAGGGGCUCAAUUUCUACUUUAAAAUGUUCAAGGUCUUGACCUGAGCCAUUCAGAGAUAUUAAAACGAAAUGAAUUCCUUUUAGUCCCAAUAAAUCUCACGUUCCCGUUUACCACAGCUCCUUUAAUUCUCACGUCCCAUCUCUCAGACUAAAUUUGCAUUGCUUGAGAUUAUAAUAGUAAUCUUCUGAGAAAUAUAUCACAACUAGCAGAAAUGCACUCAGGAGAACAAAUCUGCACACUUAAAAUUUUAACAAGAGACUUGUGUCUCUGAUGUAA